CAUCUUUUGAGCGGUGG
rnacentral:rRNA from 1 species